AUUAUUGAUACUUUUAAAAUGAUCUACCUUAACUGCACAAUAAAUGCCUCGGACAGGACUUGGAAUACGAGCUAAGAGACUGCUAACUAUGACAACACGUCCUUUUGAUCGUCUAAUCAAAGAAGGAGGUACCCAUUCGCAUUCACCUAAUGUCACCCAGGCAGCAGCAUGUAUUAAUGCCCAUAAACCUAUUGUAAGAUAUUUACGAUUGUCAAAUAUAUAUUAUAAAUAAUAA